UUUCCGGUUGAUCCUGCCGGACCCGACUGCUAUUUGGGUGAGAAUAAGCCAUGCGAGUCGAAUGGGAUACCUAAAUUUCCCAUGGCGAACUGCUCAGUAACACAUGAUCAACUUACCCUAUAGAGAAAUAUAACCUCGGGAAACUGAGGAUAAUAUUUCAUAGUUGAAUAGGCUUGGAAAAGUUUUUCAAUAAAAGGGAUAAAAAAAAUGGUUCCUAUCUGCUAUAGGAUAGGAUCGUGGACGAUUAUGGUUGUUGGUGAGGUAACGGCUCACCAAGCCGAUAAUCGAUAGGGGCCGUGAGAGCGGGAGCCCCGAGAUGGGUACUGAGACAACGACCCAGGCCUUACGAGGCGCAGCAGGCGCGGAACCUCCGCAAUACACGAAAGUGUGACGGGGUUACCCAAAGUGUUCAAUUUUGAACUGUGGUAGGUGAGUAAUGUCCCCUACUAGAAAGGAGAGGGCAAGGCUGGUGCCAGCCACCGCGGUAAAACCAGCUCUUCAAGUGGUCGGGAUAAUUAUUGGGCUUAAAGUGUCCGUAGCCGGUUUAGUAAGUUCCUGGUAAAAUCGGGUAGCUUAACUAUCUGUAUGCUAGGAAUACUGCUAUACUAGAGGGCGGGAGAAGUCUGAGGUACUACAGGGGUAGGGGUGAAAUCUUAUAAUCCUUGUAGGACCACCAGUGGCGAAGGCGUCAGACUGGAACGCGCCUGACGGUGAGGGACGAAAGCCAGGGGAGCGAACCGGAUUAGAUACCCGGGUAGUCCUGGCCGUAAACGAUGCAUACUAGGUGAUGGUACGGCCAUGAGCCGUAUCAGUGCCGUAGGGAAACCGUUAAGUGUGCCGCCUGGGAAGUACGGUCGCAAGGCUAAAACUUAAAGGAAUUGGCGGGGGAGCACCACAAGGGGUGAAGCCUGCGGUUCAAUUGGAUUCAACGCCGGGAA
rnacentral:rRNA from 1 species